CUCCUCCUUUCCACCUUCCCGUUCUUUCCCCCAUCUCCACCACCACCACCUCCUCCUCCUCUCGCUCCCCUCCUCUCCCCCUUCACGUUCUUUCUCCCAUCAACUUCUCCACCAUCAGCUCCUCCUCCACCACUAACUCCUCCUCCCCCACCUCCUCCCCCACCCCCUCCUCCGCCCGUCUGCUCCCUGUUCACAGCAGAGCUGCAAACAGCCGUUUGUUGUCGUGGCACUAAAUCAGUGGUUCCUCUCUGUGCUCCUCCUGGGGGUGGUGGGAGACGUCAUGGCCCACCGCUGAUGGCUCUCAGGCAUCUGCUCUGAUGGCCUCCCCCCCCAACCUCACCCCCCUCGCCCAGGUCCUCUCCCCUUAACUCAGUCCUGCUGUUUUGACAACAUUUUGCUGUGUUGUGCAUCUUCUUUCUCGGCUCUCACUUUCUAUCUCUCGCUCUCUCUCUCUCGCUCUCUCUCUCUCGCUCUCGCUCUCUCUCUCUAGCUCUCUCGCUCUCGCUCGCUCGCUCUCUCUCUCGCUCUCUCUCUCGCUCUCUCUCUCUCUCUCUCUCUCUCGCGCGCUCUCUCUCUCUAUCGCUCUCUCUCUCUCUCUCUCUCUCUCUCUCUCUCUCUCGCGCUCUCUCUCUCUCUCUCUCUCUCUCAUGCUCUCUCGCUCUCUCUCUCUCGCGCUCUCUCUCUCGCUCUCUCUCUCGCUCUUGCUCUCUCGCUCUUUCUCUCUCUAGUAAACAACAUUUGCACUCACAACAUUAUAAUACUCUUUCAAGAAAAGCAUAGAAGGAAAGAUAACAAUAUAUGCCAUUUGGUGGAGGCGGCAUAUAUUUUCUUCAAUUUCUCUUUAUCACCCCUAUCCUUCUGUCACGUUAUUAUUUUCCUUUCUCCUUUCCUUUGUGGAAUGGACUACUAAAACCUUCCCCUCCUUCUCCUUAUUUCUCUGCUCCUCCCAAUCCACUUCUCGCCCUUCUUCCUUCUCGUCCUUCUCUCCCUCAUCAUCCUCCACCUCCCCCUCCUCGCCCUCCAGCUCCUCCCAGUCUCAUAGUGUAGAAAAUCAAUGGCGCUAAUCAUUGUCCAUUACUGCUCGGCCGAAUGACAUCAGCAGCUGUAGCUUCCCAGAGAUUAGACCGGCACCAAGCUAAUUAGCUUAGCGCUUUCGGGGCCAUCAGAAGACAGGGCUCAGGGGGCACGCUGAUGUUGUUAUUUGUGUCUUUGUGAAUUUAGCAUUGAGUGUUGUCCUGUGCUGAAGCUAUACAUUGCCUUUAUUUUACCCAAAGCUGUGAUGUUGACUAACCAUUAUAAGCCAUUUAACAAUAUAUCCAUUAAUGACAUCACAAGUGGGAGGGUCGACCCUGAGGUUCGAUGACUCCGCCCCCCUGUUGGAACAGCUCCCCUGGUAGGCUCGUCAUUGGUCCCUCCGACAUCCGUCGGGGGGGACACUCCCACUUUUGAUUUCACUAUAGGGUAGAUCCCACCGAGUGGUUGAGUAGGGGCCCUUUAAUUGUGGCCUGGGCAGUGUCCUUUAUGUGUGUAUUGUUUGUAUUGUGUUGUGGAGUGUAUUGUUUAGUGACGGUUUCAACAUCAGAGUGUGCCGAGAGAGAUGCCAAUUAGUGCCGACGUAAGUACCCUCCAUCUGGAGGUCUCAAAAGGCGGUUUGGAUUCCAAAUACGAUGGCUCUGAUUGGUUCUUGGUGGCCAUGUGAUCAUGUCUCUCGCAUCACCCAUGACGUCCACACACACAAAUACACACGAGGCCCUCAUAUGUUGUGAUUGCAUCCCAGUGAUUGGACGCGUUUCAGUAUUGUCGUCGGAUGUAAUUGUGGGUCUGCCGGUCGCUAAUUGGUUGCGUUGAUCUUCGUCCCGCUGGAUCUGUAAUUACAGCAGCUUUCCUUUGUUGGAGGUGUCCCUCUGAAGGACGAUGAUCUUCUGGUCUCCUGAUGGUGGUGAACUGGCCUCUAGUGAACCUGUGAGAGAGAGCAUGAUGCUAUAUCAAAAGCUGUGUGUUAGCAGAGGCAUACAGCUAUCAGUUUUCAGCUUCAUAGACCGCUGGGCUGUGAGCGCAUGUGGAAAGGUGUUCAACGCCACACACACACAAAAACAGACAGACCCACACACUCACACACAGAACAAGAUACAAACAGCAACAGAUACAGACGCACGCACGCACGCACGCACGCACGCACGCACGCACGCACGCACGCACGCACGCACGCACGCACGCACGCACGCACGCACGCACGCACGCACACACGCACGCACGCACACACGCAUACAAAAAUACACACACACACAGACAGAUAUGGACCCACUCACACACACACACACGCACACACAUACACACACACACACACACACACACACACACACACACACACACACACUCAGAUAGACUCACGGAUACAAACACACACACUGACCCUCACAGUUGCUCAUGCGUCUGAUUAGCUGGGGGUUAUCCGCGUGCGCAGCGAGUAAUGAUGUGUUGUUAGAGGCCGCUCUCCGGGAAGGUGACGGCCCAGUGUGUUCAUUACAGCCUGGCACAGGUCCCGUCUCUCCUCCCCGCCCUUGACCCACUUCCAUCCCCGGGGCCGGUAGUUUUUCCGCUCGAUCUCUGAAAUUACACACAGACACCCAAUCAAGGGCCAGCGUGUUUUCAUGAUAUGACAUGAGCCCCGAUCAUGGAGUGCUCAUCAGAAGGGAGCAGUGCGCUGCCGGAGUGCCAUCAUGGUGCGUGGGAGAGGUUGACUUCCUCUCUCGUCGGGAGCUUUGACUGUAAGGCGGAUUCAGUGGCAGGUUUCUAAAACAGCUCUAGCCCUCUCCGUAAGGGCUGUGAGGCUCAUCAGCGAUGACAUUCAUGGUGGAAUAAAGAAGUGGUUAUCAUGGUUAUUUAUCAUGUAAUCUUCAAUAAUAUUACUAAUGGCCAUCACAAAUCACCACAGCUCAAAUUGACGACUUAAUCGCACUUCUUUUGACGAGCCGUCAAAGCCGACCGCAUUUAUCUCGGAUGAUUUGAAACGGGGCAAGAGCAACUUGAAUGCUCACUCUCUGAAUAUAUAAACCGUAUUAUUUUUGAUGUUGACAACAUGUAAAGAUGACGAUGCCGAUGACUCCACACCUGUGACCUUCCAGCUCUACGUGCCUACUAGCGUUCUGUUUUCAUCUAGAUCCAUAGUGCGUGCGUCGGUCUGGUAAACAGUGGCAGCGCUGAUGGUAGAGUAGGGGCUUCUGAAGGCCAGCUUCAAAAGAACACCUGUUCUGUGUGCGGGAAAUAACAGUGAGCUUCCACCGGAGUCAAUACCGGCCCGGCUUUAGUUACCAGCAGCCAGCGAGGGAUUGCAGGGGCUGGGGAACUCAACCUGAAGCUAGCCUCACUUUAUUUUGAUGAGAGCUCCCAUCCUGCAGCAGGGGAUACAGACCGCUGCAGGUGUGUGUGUAGGUGCGCGGGUGUGUGUGUGGGUGUGUGUAGGUGUGUGGGUGGAUGUGUGUGUAGUACAUGGGUUGGGGUAAAUACAUGUUUGUCCUGAAGUCUAAUGUAUUUGAAAAGGCACAAAUUCUCCUAAUACUAAUAUUUUAUUUGUUUGUGUUUUGUUCUGUAAUUAUUUCUUCUUAUUAUUUCUUCAUUUAAUGGGUGUCUGUUUUUUUAGGUGUUUUACUUAAUUUCUUUCUAACCACAAGAUUAUUUUGAGCAUUUAUUUUUCAAGUGAUUUGUUUGUUUCUUUAUUUAUUUUCCUCCUUCCCUUCUUGUCCGUUUUUAAGUGAUUUUCUCUUUCCUUUUAUUAAUUUAUCCAAAUCCUACUCUCCAUCCAUAUCUAUCUCUCUCUCUCUCUCUCUCUCUCUCUCUCUCUCUCUCUCUCUCUCUCUCUCUCUCUCUCUCU